rnacentral:pre_miRNA from 1 species
UCUUAUGCAUGAGCAAAGAAAGUGGGGGGUUUCCUGAGAUGGAACCUACUUCUGGUGAAGAUGCUGUGAA